UGGGGAAUAUUGGACAAUGGGCGAAAGCCUGAUCCAGCCAUGCCGCGUGUGUGAAGAAGGUCUUCGGAUUGUAAAGCACUUUAAGUUGGGAGGAAGGGCAGUUACCUAAUACGUGAUUGUUUUGACGUUACCGACAGAAUAAGCACCGGCUAACUCUGUGCCAGCAGCCGCGGUAAUACAGAGGGUGCAAGCGUUAAUCGGAAUUACUGGGCGUAAAGCGCGCGUAGGUGGUUAG
rnacentral:rRNA from 1 species